UAUGAAAAGGUGUGCAACACCACCAAUCAUCAGAGAAAUGCAAAGCAAAUUGUAAUGAGAUCUCACCUUACACCUGUUAAGAUGGUUAUUAUUACAAAAAGAGAGAAGCUAAGUGUUGGUGAGGCUAUGGAGAAAAGAGACACCUUGCACAAUGUUGGUAGGUAUAUAAAUUAGCACAGCCUUUAUGGAAAGCAGUAAGAAGAUACUUCAAAAAGUUAGAAAUAAAACUAGAAUACAAUCCAGCAAUCCUGCUUCUGGGUAUAUAUCUGAAGGAAGCAAAAUCAGUAUCUUGAGAAGAUAUUUGCACCCUCAUGUUCAUUGUAGCAUUAGCCACAGUAGCCAAGAGACUUAAACUUUUCACUGACAGAUGAACAAAUGAAGAAAAUUGAUAUUAAAAUACAGAGGAAUAUUUUUCAGCCAUAAAAUGAAGGAAAUUGUGUCAUUUGAGCCAACAUGGAUGAGGACAUUAUGCUAAGUGAAAUAAGCCAGACACGGAAAGAAAACGACCAGGUGAUCUCAAUUACACGUGGAAUCUAAAUAUGUUGACUUCAUAGCGCUGCCUAUCAGAAGGAAGUGAAGAUUCUUCCAAGGUCCCUUCUUCACAAGCCAAUUUGAUUCAAAAGAUUCUGAGGGUGUUUCUGGAAGGUAUUUUAAAGGUGCCCAAGAAAUGAGAAGAAAGAACAAAGGCCAAGUCCAUUGGUCAAUUUGUACAAAAUAACUUGAGGCCUGGCCAGGUGUCCAUCCAGUUGAAUCAUCUGUCAUGUGGUUUCCAGCCAGUGCUUCCUUGAGCAAAACUCAGAUUCACAGAAAUCCCCAUGCAUUUGAAGGAAAGAAAUUGCUGUUGAUUGCCCUUACAAGGUAAAAUG